GUACGGGAGGCAGCAGUCGAGAAUUUUUCACAAUGGGCGCAAGCCUGAUGGAGCGACGCCGCGUGGGGGAUGAAGGGUUUCGAUCCGUAAACCCCUGUCAUUUGCGAACAAACCUCAUUCAAUAACACUGGAUGAGUUGAUUGUAGUGAAAGAGGAAGGGACGGCUAACUCUGUGCCAGCAGCCGCGGUAAUACAGAGGUCCCAAGCGUUGUUCGGAUUCACUGGGCGUAAAGGGUGCGUAGGUGGCCAGGUAAGUUCGGUGUGAAAGCUCGGAGCUCAACUCCGAAAAGGCAUUGAAUACUAUCUGGCUGGAGGGUCGGAGGGGAGACUGGAAUUCUCGGUGUAGCAGUGAAAUGCGUAGAUAUCGAGAGGAACACCAGUGGCGAAGGCGAGUCUCUGGACGACACCUGACACUGAGGCACGAAAGCUAGGGGAGCAAACAGGAUUAGAUACCCUGGUAGU
rnacentral:rRNA from 1 species